rnacentral:misc_RNA from 1 species
GAUGAAGAACGCAGCGAAAUGCGAUACUUGGUGUGAAUUGCAGAAUCCCGUGAACCAUCGAGUCUUUGAACGCAAGUUGCGCCUCAAGCCAUUAGGUUGAGGGCACGUCUGCCUGGGCGUCACAUAUCGUUGCCUGAUGCCAGUUUCCUCGUGAUGGGUGACUGUGCAGGGCGAAUGAUGGCUUCCCGUGAGCAUUGUUGCCUCAUGGUUGGUUGAAAAUUGAGUCCUUGGUAGGGAGCGCCGUGAUAGAUGGUGGUUGAGUGACGAACGAGACCCAAUCAUGUGAGACCCCUACCGAAUUUGGCCUUCAUGACCCACAUGCGUCUUUGGAACGCUCAUGACGAGACCUCAGGUCAGGCGGGGCUAACCGCUGAGUUUAAGCAUAUCAAUAAGCGGAGGA